rnacentral:rRNA from 1 species
CACGUAGGGCGCAAGCGUUGUCCGGAAUUAUUGGGCGUAAAGGGUGCGUAGGCGGUUUGGUAAGUCUUGUGUGAAAUCUACAGGCUCAACUUGUAGUCUGCACGAGAAACUGCCGGGCUUGAGUGUGGGAGAGGUGAGUGGAAUUCCUGGUGUAGCGGUGAAAUGCGUAGAUAUCAGGAGGAACACCGGUGGUGUAGACGGCUUUCGUGGACCGUAACUGACGCUGAGACACGAAAGCUAGGGGAGCAAACAGG